ACCUGUCAGGCAGUUACCAGCUUGAAGGUGGUGCUAACCUGAGUCCUUCCACUUGCAGUCUUGAAGAAACCAGUGACAGCAGAGGAGCUCCAGAGGCCUGGAAGCCCUUACAUAAAGAAGACCUUCACUGUAGGUUCCUGUUCCCAAAAUCAGCCCUGAGUCCCAACACACACAUCCUGCGUAAAAAAACAUUAGAUUCAGCCCCUGGUUCUCAUUUUGCAGAUUGUGGGCGACGCGGUGGGCUGGGGCUUUGUGGUGAGGGGCGACAAACCGUGUCACAUUCAGGCCGUGGACCCAAGCGGCCCGGCGGCUGCAGCAGGUUUGAAGGUUUGUCAAUUUGUCCUUUCCAUCAAUGGGAUGAACGUCCUAACUCUGGACUACAGGAAAGUCAGCAACCUCAUUCUGACUGGCCCUCGAACCAUGGUCAUGGAAGUCAUGGAGGAGUCAAGCCUCUGAGCCAAUGAGACAGAUCUGGUGCCCUGGCCAUCCAUAGUUACUGGGCUGCAUACACCCACCAAUCUCACGCUGUCAUUCAGGGAUGCUGGCCCUACAAUGUCCACUCCAGCACAGGGCAACGUAAAGGUCUUGUGUUCACCCCUAGUCUGCGUUGCGCAGGACAGGCUAAUCAGUGACAGAAAUCAAAACCUGGAGACAGUUCAUCUGAAACACUAUGGUCUAUCUUUUUAGCAGCAGUAAUGGUGGUCUUGCAAGAAGAAGCAAUGGUUACAAGUCAAUAGUACCAUCAAAGAUAAAUGGAAUCUGACAUUUGCUGUGAGUGGGCAGCAUAUUGUAGUGUUCAAACAAAAACAUUUUUAACAUUUCAGCGUUCAUAAUUCAACGUUUAUGUCUAACGAGGGACAUGGGUAGGUAAUGCUGGCAUGCAGUAUAACUCUUUAGCAGCCCUCAUUCUUCACCUGCGCCUUGGGGGAAGUGUCCUCAGUUCUUGGAGAGACGGUGAACAUGAGAGGUACAUAAAGUGACAUACAAUGACAGCACAGCUGUCCUUUUGGCCUGAAACCCUGAAUCCCUUUUUUCUACCUCUACCAUUUAAUAUAAGUACCUGGGAAGGCGGUGCCUGAAGAGUGUGGUCCCAUAGUCAACGAUUUAUUCUUUCUGCAGCGAAUGAAUGAAUGCAUAUCAGGUGUUUGAAAACAAUUAGCUCACAGCUGUAGGUUGCAGUACAUUAAGCGUCAGAAAUGGUUGUUUAAAGGUCUGAAACUAUUGUCAAGGUACAAAAUUUACAUGUAUUCAUUUAGCUGAUGCUUUUUUCCAGAAGCUAUUUACAGCAUAAAGUUACUUACCCAUUUAUACAGCUGGGUAAUUUUAGGGUAAGUACCUUGCUCAAGAGAACUAUAGCCAGAGGUUUGAUUUGAACCUGCAAGCAUCGGAUCCAAAGGCAGUAUCUCUAAGCAGUGCACUACCAGUUGCCCUUCAAUAAAACAUCAUAUUUCUCUGGAGUAAUAAACA
ensembl:lncRNA